GAUGAACGCUGGCGGCGUGCCUAAUACAUGCAAGUCGAGCGAACAGACGAGGAGCUUGCUCCUCUGACGUUAGCGGCGGACGGGUGAGUAACACGUGGAUAACCUACCUAUAAGACUGGGAUAACUUCGGGAAACCGGAGCUAAUACCGGAUAAUAUAUUGAACCGCAUGGUUCAAUAGUGAAAGACGGUUUUGCUGUCACUUAUAGAUGGAUCCGCGCCGUAUUAGCUAGUUGGUAAGGUAACGGCUUACCAAGGCGACGAUGCGUAGCCGACUUGAGGGGGUGAUCGGCCACACUGGAACUGGGACACGGUCCAGACUCCUACGGGAGGCAGCAGUAGGGAAUCUUCCGCAAUGGGCGAAAGCCUGACGGAGCAACGCCGCGUGAGUGAUGAAGGUCUUCGGAUCGUAAAACUCUGUUAUUAGGGAAGAACAAAUGUGUAAGUAACUAUGCACGUCUUGACGGUACCUAAUCAGAAAGCCACGGCUAACUACGUG
rnacentral:rRNA from 1 species